rnacentral:rRNA from 1 species
ACGGAAGGCAGCAGUGGGGGAUAUUGCACAAUGGGGGAAACCCUGAUGCAGCGACGCCGCGUGAGUGAAGAAGUAUUUCGGUAUGUAAAGCUCUAUCAGCAGGGAAGAAAAUGACGGUACCUGACUAAGAAGCUCCGGCUAAAUACGUGCCAGCAGCCGCGGUAAUACGUAUGGAGCAAGCGUUAUCCGGAUUUACUGGGUGUAAAGGGAGCGUAGACGGCGAGGCAAGUCUGAUGUGAAAGCCAUGGGCUCAACCCAUGAACUGCAUUGGAAACUGUUUUGCUUGAGUGUCGGAGAGGUAAGCGGAAUUCCUAGUGUAGCGGUGAAAUGCGUAGAUAUUAGGAGGAACACCAGUGGCGAAGGCGGCUUACUGGACGAUAACUGACGUUGAGGCUCGAAAGCGUGGGGAGCAAACAGGAUUAGAUACCCUGGUA